GACGAACGCUGGCGGCGUGCCUAAUACAUGCAAGUCGAGCGCUGAAGGUUGGUACUUGUACCUACGGGAUGAGCAGCGAACGGGUGAGUAACGCGUGGGUAACCUGCCUAUGAGCGGGGGACAACAUUUGGAAACGAAUGCUAAUACCGCAUAAAAACUUUAAACACAAGGUUCAAGAGUGAAAGAUGCACUUGCAGCACCUAAAGGAUAGCUCCCGUUUUAUUAGCUAGUUGGUGAGGUAAACGGCCAACAAGGCGAAGAUACCUAAGCGGACUGGGGGGGUGUAUGGCCACCAUGGGACUUGGACACCGGCCCAGCUCCCUACGGGGGCAGCCGUAAGGGAUCUUUCCGCAUGGGGCGAAGUCUGGACGGACCAACGCGCGUGAGUGGAGGAAGGUCUUCGGUCCUAAAACUCUGUUUGUUGGGGAGAAACUUAUGGGGAGUGGACUGCUCAUAAAGUGACGGUACCUACUCAGAAAGCCACGGCUAACUACGUG
rnacentral:rRNA from 1 species